AGCAGGAUUGGACACACCUGAUUUAUUCUAUAAGACUAGUAUCUGUUUGAGAGGUGUUAAUACAAAGUGUCAUGGUGUGUUCAGGUUGUGGUGGGAGAACCAUGGAGUGUUCACCACCAAACAAAAAGAAUCACUGGCCUCUGUGUCACUAGCCCGCAUAAUCUGUGACAACACUGGAAUCAGCAGAGUUCCCAACGAUCCUUUCCGCUUCACCAGUCCUUCCGAUUUUAUCAACUGUGAGGAUAUCCCAGCGCUUGGAUUGAAACCGAUACAGACCUCUUCCAAGGACCUCGGGGAGCCAGAGGACCUCCGGGGAAACCUGGUCCACAAGGUGUAGCUAGCCCCCCUGGCUCUCCAGGACCUCCCAUUAAUACCACAGGACAACAGUCUGCCUUCUUUGCUUAUGUUGGCACCAUCAUUCGUGUCUCUGCUAAGGUUGUUGUGUU